GGGUAACUGGAGGACUAGUGGUUAGGCCACAGUGCUCUCACCGCUGCAGCCCAGGUUCGAUUCCAAGCCUAGCCA
rnacentral:tRNA from 1 species